AGGAGGCGGGGCGCCUGUGGGAGUCGUGGAGGGAACUUUCCCAGGCCCCGAGGCGGAUCGGGUAUUGAGUCCAUGGAGCGAGCUGAGAGCUAGAGAACCUGCUAAGGCCAUCAAACCUAUCGAUCGGAAGUCAGUCCAUCAGAUUUGCUCUGGGCCGGUGGUACUGAGUCUAAGCACUGCGGUGAAGGAGUUAGUAGAAAACAGUCUGGAUGCUGGUGCCACCAAUAUUGAUCUAAAGCUUAAGGACUAUGGAGUGGAUCUCAUUGAAGUUUCAGACAAUGGAUGUGGGGUAGAAGAAGAAAACUUUGAAGGCUUAACGAUGUCACCAUUUCUACCUGCCACGCAUCGGCGAAGGUUGGGACUCGACUGGUGUUUGAUCACGAUGGGAAAAUCAUCCAGAAAACCCCCUACCCCCACCCCAGAGGGACCACAGUCAGCGUGAAGCAGUUAUUUUCUACACUACCUGUGCACCAUAAGGAAUUUCAAAGGAAUAUUAAGAAGACGUGCCUGUUUCCCCUUCGCCUUCUGCCGUGAUUGUCAGUUUCCUGAGGCCUCCCCAGCCAUGCUUCCUGUACAGCCUGCAGAACUGUGAUCUCAGCCCUCCUCCAGGCUUCGAUUAUAACUUACAGGAUUGUGAUUCACACAUUUCAGUUUCCACCACAGGCCCCUCCAGACAUGUCCAUCUGCCUGCUGUGUUGACUUUUCCCUUUGGAGUCUUGAGGCAGCUACAAGCUUACUGACCAGAAAUGAACUCAAGCUCUCCCCGAAGCCUGGUCCUCUUCCAGGAUCAGCCAGCCUGGAAGAUGGCACUGUCAUCCACCCUGUUCUCAGGCCUGCCACCCAGGAGUCAACCUUAGCCCCAUCUAAUUGUCAGAGGCAUCUGAACCACAGCAACUCCAUCUUGAGUAGGGGAUGGGUAAAAUGAGGCUGAGACCUGCUGGGCUGCAUUCCCAGACAGCCAAGGCAUUAGCCACAGGAUAAGAUAGGCGGUCGGUACAAGACACAGGUCAUAAAGACCUUGCUGAUAAAACAGUUGGCAGUAAAGAAGCCAGCCAAAACCCACUAAAACCAAGAUGGCAACGAGAGUGACCUCUGGUCGUCCUCACUGCUACCCUCCCACCAGCACCAUGACAGUUUACAAAUGCCAUGGCAAUGUCAGAAAGUUACCCUAUAGGGUCUAAAAAGGGGAGGCAUGAAUAAUCUACCCCUUGUUUAGCAUAUCAUCAAGAAAUAACCAUAAAAAUAGGCAACCAGCAGCCCUCAGGGAUGCUCUGUCUAUGGAGUAGCCAUUCUUUUGUUCCUUUACUCUCUUAAUAAACUUGUUUUCACUUUACUCUA
ensembl:lncRNA PMS2P4 PMS1 homolog 2, mismatch repair system component pseudogene 4